ensembl:lncRNA
ACCUGCCCCAAACCCAAGGUCACUCACGCCACACAUCUUGCCCCAAGUCCCAGAGGAAAAACCACUGCAAACAAGCAUUGGGGUUUUUUUCUUUUGCAGAAUUAUUUUUUUUAGUAGACAUAGUCUUUUUUUUUUUCCUUUCUCAUUUUACAGCAAACAUUGCAAAUAUAGAAAUAUUUCUCUAUACAAUAGGACGACAGUGUAUAGUGGGGGCAGGGCUGGAAGGCACACUCCCGGCCCCCGCCACCCCUGGCCGUCUGCAGGCACAGCCCUCCCUGCCCCCAAGGUCCCGGGAGCUCCGGGACCCUCCCGGAGACCACCUGGCCGCCUGCGUUCGCUCUGGCCCUCUCUGGUGGCGGCGACGAAGAGACGGACUAAACAGAAUCCACAGAAAGCCACGGACAGAGGAGUCGUGCGGGGACCAGGUGGCCACACCCCCCACAUAGAGCGUUUUACGUCUUUUAAAGAGAACUUUAAAAAAAAAAAAAGAGAAGGCAGAGAAGAAUCAAAAGAUAAUGAAAAAAAUCCCCUCCCCCGCCCCCCAUCCCUAAGACACAGUUUUCGGAAGUCCCUUGUGUGUGUGUGUGUGUGUGUGUGUGUGUGUGUGCACGCGUGUGUGUGGACGGGCCCCUCACACCAGCGAGAACGUCUCGGCAGGUGCACACGCUUAGCCACGCGCCCCUCCCGUUCGGCCUGCCGGUGCCCCCUCCCCACUUUGCCCGAAAAGCCCAGGGCUUCAGCAGUUGUAGGGGGGGGUGUGUGUGUAUGUGUGUGUGUGCACGCGCACGCGUGUGCACCGUGAGUCUCUGUGCGUGUGUGCGCGUGCGCCGUGAGUCUCUGGGUUAGCUGCAGUGUCCUCUGGCCGCGCGCGGCCCGCUCAGGACUUGUGCUGCGCAGACACGCCCUUCCAGUAGUCCAGGAUGUCGUGCAGGUCCUCGUCCUUGGCGAACUGCACCUUCCGGCGCAGCGCGUGGCCGGCCGCCACGCACUCCCCGGCGUCCCGGUGCCGCGGGCGGCUCAGUCUGAAGCGGGCCCAGAGGCUGCGGGAGGCGCGGCAGGCGUACUCGGGGCUGGAGGCGUAGCUCAGGUGGCGGUACUGCGGCGAGAGCGGCGCGUAGGCCAGGUCGCGGGGGCGCGGCCGCGUCAGCGGCUCCAGGAUGGAGGCCUUGCGGCCGCCCAGGCUCUCGGGGGGCGCGGGCGGCGCGGGGGGCUCCACAGGGUGGGGCCCGGGGUACGAGUGCCGGUGCUCCCCGUACUGCCGGCCCUUCUCGGGCUCGGCCCGCAGCACGGCUGCCGCGGGCGUCACCGUGAGGAUGGCCUCCGCCGCGGGCGAGCCCUUCUCGAUGUACUUGGCCUCGUGCAGCGCAGGGGGCUCGGCGCGGUAGGGCCGCGGGCUGCGGGCGGAGCCGCUGGACGAGGAGCUGGCCCGCGGGGCCCCGGGGGCGGCCUCCAGGCUGUGGUGCCGCUGCAGGCCGCAGGCGUCCUGGUAGGCGGGCGCCAGGAAGCCGCGCUUGCCGGCCAGCGGCUCGGCCGUGGACACGGCGCCCGGCUUGCCGCCCUGGAAGGAGGUGGCCUCGGCCUUGAGGGCGUCGAUGCAGUUGUUGAUGAUCUGGUUGACCUUGUCCACCUCCUUGGCGAUGGUGGAGAUCUCAGCCACCGAGCCCUGGCUGUCGGGGCCCGGCCGGCCCUGCUCCCCCUCCCUGCGUUCUGCCUGCUCCGCCGCACGCACCUCCAUGUAGCCGCCCUUGCUGCCCUGGGGCGUCCCGCUGCCCUCCGCCAGCUGGUACUGCUCCACCUCCCCGGGGGCGGCGGGCAGGUAUGGGAUGCGGGUCACCGCCUCGGGGCCCAGCAGCGGGCCCUGGGACAGCGGGGCCAGGCCUGGCGCCUCCAGCUCGGGCCCGUACUUGAGCUCGAUGAUGGUCUUCUUGAGGCUGCCGGCCGCUGCCGCCGCCUGCUUCUGCUUGCCCUCCCGCCGCCGCCGCCGCCGCAGGCAGUAGUAGACGGCGCCCAGCACCACCACCAUGCCGAAGAGGCAGCCCAGGACGGUCAUGAUGUAGUGGGUGGCCGUGGAGGGGCUGGGCACGGGGCCCGGCGGGCUGGGCGGCUGCGGCAGGCAGAUGGGGAGGCAGGAGCCUGAUGAGUCGUCUGCAAGAGCUGUAAAUUUGAUAAGUGCUUAUUAGAAAUAUGAGAAUGAGGCUUAAAACGUGCUUGUCUGCCUGAAAUGAUGGCUGAGGUGCCCUCAGACUCACUGGCUAAACGUGGUAAGCUGUUCCACCGUAGCUGCAAGGUUAAAAAAAGUACAUCGAGACAGAAGUGAGAUCCCCAGAAGAGCCUGUCACUGUCCCGGGGGCUCCAGAAAACCCUCCUUAGAAACGGGCCAGAAAAGCGGCCGGAUCCCACACCCUCCGCCUCUGGCUCCUCCCUCCAGGUGGUCCAGGACCCCAGCCCCCAGCCACCCGACCAGCUGAGCUGAGCGGGCGCAGCGAGCCCCACGGGCGCUGGGUUCCAGGACCCCAGCCCCCAGCCACCCGACCAGCUGAGCUGAGCGGGCGCAGCGAGCCCCACGGGCACUGGGUUCCAGGACCCCAGCCCCCAGCCACCCGACCAGCUGAGCUCUGAGAAGGCACAGCGAGCCCCACGGGCACUGGGUUCCAGGACCCCAGCCCCCAGCCACCCGACCAGCUGAGCUGAGCGGGCGCAGCGAGCCCCACGGGCACUGGGUUCCAGGACCCCAGCCCCCAGCC